rnacentral:sRNA from 1 species
AGAUAGCAGAGACUACACAUGACACACACAAACCUUAAAGUUGUUUGUUGUACAGGUAACUCUUUGUUUGGACAUCAAAAGCUCGAACAUCAAGAUGAAAAUCUUGUUCCUAUUGGUCACCUUCUGUGCUGGACUUUGUCUGACUCAAUUGGUGGUUCCACAAAUAAAUGUUUGUGAGUAUUGUCAGGCAGGAAAAGUUCAAUGUUUAAAUAACUGUAUUUCCAUGGCGACGCUCUCUAACCCCGACGCCUACGUGAACGGACUAUUCUGUAUCUGUGGUGACAACAAGGUCUGCAAGGAUCUAUGUGCCCCUCUACUUGGGCAAAUAGGAAUUUAGAAUGUGGUGUGCAUGUAAUCACAUUCAGGUGUUCCAGUUCUUUGUAUUCAACCAGAUCCUUGAAGGCAGACUUGCCUUGAGAAAAUAAACAUUCACUUUCACAA